rnacentral:rRNA from 1 species
CAGUAGCCGCGGUAAUACGAAGGGUGCAAGCGUUAAUCGGAAUUACUGGGCGUAAGGCGUGCGUAGGCGGUUUGUUAAGUCUGUUGUGAAAUCCCCGGGCUCAACCUGGGAAUGGCAAUGGAUACUGGCAAGCUAGAGUGUGUCAGAGGAUGGUGGAAUUCCCGGCGUAGCGGUGAAAUGCGUAGAGAUCGGGAGGAACAUCAGUGGCGAAGGCGGCCAUCUGGGACAACACUGACGCUGAGGCACGAAAGCGUGGGGAGCAAACAGGAUUAGAUACCCGCGUAGUCCCUGUCUCUUAUAC